rnacentral:tRNA from 1 species
CGGGGUGUGGCGCAGCUUGGUAGCGCGCUUCGUUCGGGACGAAGAGGCCGCAGGUUCAAAUCCUGUCACCCCGACCAGUU